GAGUUUGAUCAUGGCUCAGGAUGAACGCUAGCGGGAGGCUUAACACAUGCAAGUCGAGGGGCAUCACGAGGUAGCAAUACUUUGGUGGCGACCGGCGCACGGGUGAGUAACGCGUAUGUAACCUACCCUGUACAGGGGGAUAGCCCGGAGAAAUUCGGAUUAAUACCCCAUAAUGAUAUUGAGAGGCAUCUUUUAAUAUUUAAAGUUUCAACGGUACGGGAUGGGCAUGCGUGACAUUAGCUAGUUGGUAGGGUAACGGCUCACCAAGGCUACGAUGGUUAGGGGGUCUGAGAGGAUGAUCCCCCACACUGGUACUGAGACACGGACCAGACUCCUACGGGAGGCAGCAGUGAGGAAUAUUGGGCAAUGGGCGCAAGCCUGACCCAGCCAUGCCGCGUGCAGGAUGACGGCGCUAUGCGUUGUAAACUGCUUUUGUUUAGGAAGAAACCCAUCUACGUGUAGGUGGUUGACGGUACUGAAUGAAUAAGCAUCGGCUAACUCCGUGCCUGCAGCCGCGGUAAUACGGAGGAUGCAAGCGUUAUCCGGAUUCAUUGGGUUUAAAGGGUGCGUAGGCGGAGUACUAAGUCAGCGAUGAAA
rnacentral:rRNA from 1 species